AAAGUGUAUAAGUGUUCCUUUUUCUCCACAGCCUUGCCAGCUUCUGUUGUUUUUUGUCUUUUUAUUAAUGGCCAUUUGGACUGGUGUGAGAUGAUAUCUCAUUAUGGUUUAGAUUUGCAUUUUUCUGAUGAUUAGUGAUGGCUUUUCUCUAGGGUGAAGGUACACUCGAGCGUGGUCAUUGAGGACAAGUCGACGAGAGAUCCCGAGUACGUCUACAGUCAGCCUUACGAGUGGACUGAUCAAGUUGAAAGCAACAGAACAAGCAUCUAUAAGAAUUGAUUAUAUGUCCCAGCACUUUGGAAGGCUGAGGCAAGUGGAUCCCUUGGGCCUAGGACUUCGCGAGACCAGUUGGGCAACAUGAUGAACUCCUACUAAUUUUCGUCCUUCAGAACAAGAUGGAAGAAACUACGGUCACAUAUGCAAAUGGAGAAGAUGAUGAACACAGAAAAAUUAUGCAAAGAUAAUCCCUAAACCUUCUUUCUCAUCAAAAGUUAUAGCAAGGUGGUUUAAUAUAUCACUGACGGAACACGAUGCUUUGUUUAAUGAAGACUCAGACGGAAAGGAUCAGACAUCAACCUAUAAAUGCAUCAACCAGAAGGAAAGACCAAUUUUGAAAACUGUUGAGCAUUAUUCUAUACCUCUAAGCUGUUCUUUUCUGAACCAUGAAUCGGGAGAAUUAUUGUCACUCAUACAUGAGUAUGAGUUGUAAUUCUCAAUUCCCAAGUAAAAAUCUUCCUGCUUUUGUUAU
rnacentral:lncRNA from 10 species